rnacentral:sRNA from 1 species
UGCGGCUGGAUCACCUCCUUUCUAAGGAUGAUCCUUCAGCGAGCUCACGCUCACUAUCGGAUCGUUUUAGAAACAUCAGUGGCCAACAGAUCGCCAGAUCGUUGAGCUGCAUUGGCGGGAUUUCGCCGUCUUCGUUUCUCUUUCUUCGCGGACGAACACGCGCUGGGCCUGCAUCAAGCAGGAUCCCACGGUCCCUGACGGGAUAUGCGUUAGGGGCUUGUAGCUCAGUUGGUUAGAGCGCGCGCUUGAUAAGCGUGAGGUCGGAAGUUCAAGUCUUCCCAGGCCCACCACUUUCAUCGAGUGAGCAUUCGUCUUCUGGUUACGGGGCCAUAGCUCAGCUGGGAGAGCGCGUGCUUUGCAAGCAUGAGGUCGUCGGUUCGAUCCCGUCUGGCUCCACCAGAUGGUUUGAUCAUCGAGAUCUUGCACCGUCGUCCGCGAAACAUCACUUCGCAUCCUGCUAGUCUGGAUAGACAGCAAGAUGCGUGUUUUCUGACAUCGUAAAGAGGAGAUCGAUCCGAGUUGGGUCGUGCAGCAGAUCGUUGCGCGAAUCCUUCAUUAUCUCCGGAUCAUUUUCGGCGCUCGCUUUCAGCCGUGAGGUUGAAUGCGAGUUGUAAAAUGAUCCUUUUAGCGAAGCUUGACCGCCUCGCUAUCGGAACGAUCUUACGAAGCAAGCUGGUCUUUCUAGUCAAUGUCCGGCUGCACGUAGCAUUCAUCGAGGGUGCGCGCCGUAAGGCAAUCGUGCAGACAACAUUCUGCCGAGUGUGUGGACAUUGAUAAUGAGAGCAAUCAAGUGCCUUAAGGGUGUUCGGUGGAUGCCUUGGCGCUGAGAGGCGAUGAAGGACGUGCUACGCUGCGAUAAGCCGUGGGGAGCUGCGAAGAAGCUUUGAUCCGCGGAUUUCCGAAUGGGGAAACCCACCUUCGAUAGCCGGAACUCCAAGACCUUGUGUCUUGGUGUUCGACCAGAAAUGAUCGGGACCAUGACCCUAGAGGUUUUGGAUUUCCGGUUAUCAAGAGAAGGUAUGAGACUUCUGAAUACAUAGGAGGUUUCAAGCAAACCCAGGGAACUGAAACAUCUAAGUACCUGGAGGAAAGGACAUCAACAGAGACUCCGUUAGUAGUGGCGAGCGAACGCGGACCAGGCCAGUGAUACAUCAAAGACAAUCGGAACCAGUCAGGAAAGCUGGGCCUCAGAGGGUGAUAGCCCCGUACGAGUAAUGCGAUGAUGUAUCCACGAGUAAGGCGGGACACGUGCAAUCCUGUCUGAACACGGGGGGACCACCCUCCAAGCCUAAGUACUCCUCAGCGACCGAUAGCGAACCAGUACCGUGAGGGAAAGGUGAAAAGCACCCCGACGAGGGGAGUGAAAUAGACCUGAAACCGGACACCUACAAACAGAUGGAGCUCAAGAUUCGUUCUGGGUGACAUCGUACCUUUUGUAUUAUGGGCCAGCGACUUAAUUUAACGAGCAAGCUUAAGCCGAUAGGCGAAGGCGUAGCGAAAGCGAGUCUGAAUAGGGCGCCAAGUUCGUUGUAUUAGACCCGAAACCUAGUGAUCUAGCCAUGAGCAGGUUGAAGGUGAGGUAACACUCACUGGAGGACCGAACGGGUGCCUGUUGAAAAAGGCUCCGAUGACUUGUGGUUAGGGGUGAAAGGCCAAUCAAACUGGGAAAUAGCUGGUUCUCCGCGAAAGAUAUUUAGGUAUCGCCUCGCACGAAUGCUUCGGGGGGUAGAGCACUGGAUGGGCUAGGGGGACUUACCGUCUUACCAAACCCAACCAAACUCCGAAUACCCGAAAGCAAUAUGCGGGAGUCACACGGCGGGUGCUAACGUCCGUCGUGGAGAGGGAAACAACCCGGACCUACAGCUAAGGCCCCUAAUUCGUGGCUAAGUGGGAAAGGAUGUGGAAAUCCCAAAACAACCAGGAGGUUGGCUUAGAAGCAGCC